AGUCCUAGGGGCGGCGGCGCUCUGCUUGGCCCUUCUCGAGGCGAUGGCGGGAGGACGUGCUGGUCGUCCGCUUGGUCUGAAGCAGGAGGUAGCUCGAGAUUGCGGAAGCGGAUCAGGGUGGCGAUUGCCUUGCCGGAGCUCUUCAGAUGACCCGUUCUAUAGGAGAAGACACAUAGAGCGGCGAUGGCAACACGGGUCAACGGCAUCAGCAACACCGGAGUGCACUCCGGACUACCUUUGCUUCCAGAUGUGGGUCUCUCACAGGGAGGAAGAAGAAAAUCAUGGAAACAAGUUCAGCAGUAGAAACAUCACCAUGGGUGGAUUUGGUGACACAAAUGUACAUAAGCGAGGACAUCAUCUUUUUGCUGAUUUGCGUGUUGGCUGGCCCGAACUGAGCGACACCCCUAAUGCUAACCGAUUUAUUUUAAGAAUCAAAUAUCCAAUGGUGGAUGUGCUUGCUUCUGAUUGCACAUAUCGCUUUAGAACAUGGUAUUUUGUUUCUGCUUUUACAUUGGCUCAUACAUGAAUGUGGUGCAAAGGCUUGGCAAGGCCGCCAGCGACGAACGGCUGCUGAGUUUGGCAAAGCAGGCGGUGCUCCGGUCAGGGUACCUUGUCACGUAAAUCAUCAUUAGUGGAUGACAUGAUAACGGAAGAUUUCGACAGGUUUGCCUCCAUCAUCAGGAGGGUGGAGAGCUCGCGCAAGCUCGCUCGAUUGCAUGCUAAAGCCAAUACUUCCAUCAAGGAAAGUAUUGAUGUUUGGAGGAAGAGACAAGAUAAGCUAUAAAAUGGUUUGCCCUUAUGAUGGUGGAGGGAGUGCAUGGGGGACUGCCUACUGAUCUUAGUUACACCAUGAUGUUGGCCCACGAGUAUCAAUGAUAUCAUAGAAUUUGUGAAUAUAUUUGAGCAAAAGUGCCUGAUUCCCAAGAACCGGGUUCUGAACUCCCACUUCUCUUUGGUUUUUACAAGCUAGCUCACAAGACAUCAGGUUAUUUGUUUGGUGCAUGGCUCCCAUAUGGUUGCCUUUAUAAUGUAAUUUUUUGGUUUUCUUUUCUUAUUUAAGUACUAUUUUCCUUCAUUUUCAUUCUCUAUUUGUAGACUGCAGCCUCAGCCGUGUCCACUUUGCACUUUCCGGUCUUUCAUUGUAGCCUUAAAUGCUGUCGU